rnacentral:misc_RNA from 1 species
GCGCCAUUGGAGGUUUCAAUCACCAUAUCUAUAGCUAUGUACACGAGUCUAAUGAGUUUGGGCGUCCCAAACAUCAUGUCUUGCUAACGACUACACCUACUUCCCCGUUGCAUCUCUGUUCAGCAUUACCUUCAUCCCUGGGAUGCUUCCCUAUAAUUGUUCGCUUGCCAUCCUCCACCAAAGCUGACCCUUCAUCAGUCAUACUAACAUCCCUGGGACGCUUCCCUAGAAUUGUUCGCUUGUCAUCCUCCGCCAAAGGAGAGGCUUCAUCUGUCAUACUAACUUCGGAUUGCUUGCUUGCUUCUAUUUGUCUGUUAUUUCCAUUGGAGGUUGCUUGGGUAGCUGUAAACUCAGGCACAGGUUUAUCUCCAUUAGAAUUUGCUUGGGUAGCUGCAAGCUCUAUCUUAGGUACUGGUUUAUCUCCACUGGAGUUUGCUUGGGUAGCUGGAAGCUCUUGCUCAGGCACUGGUUUAUCUCCAUCGGAGUUUGCUUGGGUAGCUGGAAGCUCUUGCUCAGGCACUGGUUUAUCUCCAUUGGAGUUUGCUUGGGUAGCUGGAAGCUCUUGUUCAGGCACUGGUUUAUCUCCACUGGAGUUUGCUUGGAUAGCUGCAAGCUCUUGGUCAGGCACAGGUUUAUCUCCAUUGGAGUUUGCUCGGGUAGCUGCAAGCUCUUGCUUAGGCACAGGUUUAUCUCCACUGGAGUUUGCUUGGAUAGCUGCAAGCUC